rnacentral:rRNA from 1 species
ACAGGGAUUGCCCUAGUAACGGCGAGUGAAGCGGCAACAGCUCAAAUUUGAAAUCUGGCGUCUUCGGCGUCCGAGUUGUAAUUUGCAGAGGGCGCUUUGGCAUUGGCAGCGGUCCAAGUUCCUUGGAACAGGACGUCACAGAGGGUGAGAAUCCCGUACGUGGUCGCUAGCCUUUACCGUGUAAAGCCCCUUCGACGAGUCGAGUUGUUUGGGAAUGCAGCUCUAAAUGGGAGGUAAAUUUCUUCUAAAGCUAAAUACUGGCCAGAGACCGAUAGCGCACAAGUAGAGUGAUCGAAAGAUGAAAAGCACUUUGGAAAGAGAGUUAAAAAGCACGUGAAAUUGUUGAAAGGGAAGCGCUUGCAGCCAGACUUGCCUGUAGUUGCUCAUCCGGGUUUCUACCCGGUGCACUCUUCUAUAGGCAGGCCAGCAUCAGUUUGGGCGGUUGGAUAAAGGUCUCUGUCAUGUACCUCCUCUCGGGGAGAACUUAUAGGGGAGACGACAUGCAACCAGCCUGGACUGAGGUCCGCGCAUCUGCUAGGAUGCUGGCGUAAUGGCUGUAAGCGGCCCGUCUUGAAACACGGACCAAGGAGUCUAACAUCUAUGCGAGUGUUUGGGUGUCAAGCCCGAACGCGUAAUGAAAGUGAACGGAGGUGGGAACCUUUCGGGGUGCACCAUCGACCGAUCCUGAUGUCUUCGGAUGGAUUUGAGUAAGAGCAUAGCUGUUGGGACCCGAAAGAUGGUGAACUAUGCUUGAAUAGGGUGAAGCCAGAGGAAACUCUGGUGGAGGCUCGCAGCGGUUCUGACGUGCAAAUCGAUCGUCAAAUUUGGGCAUAGGGGCGAAAGACUAAUCGAACAUCCUAUU